rnacentral:pre_miRNA from 1 species
CAACUACUCCCUCUGUCCCAAAUUUCUUGUCUUAGAUUUGUCUAGAUACAGAUGUAUCUAAUACUAAAAUGUGACUUGAUACNAGAUACGGAUGUAUCUAAUACUAAAAUGUGACUUGAUACAUCCGUAUCUAGACAAAUCUAAGACAAGAAUUUUGGGAUGGAGGGAGUACUUU